rnacentral:tRNA from 1 species
GCCUACUUAGCUAAGUUGGUAGUGCGUCUGCCUUGUAAGCGCUAGGCCGCGGGUUCGAUUCCCGCCCGGGGCG